CCCUCCUCCCCACAGUCCCCUUCUCUAAAAUCAGUGUAUUACAGGGAAGACAAGACGCCGGCUGCUCAGAGAGUAAUCAUGGCUUUUAAACUGUGAUCCCAGCAAGGAAGUGAAGUGUGCAAUCUCUUUGCAGUCUCUUUGAAAGCAGACUCCCCGCCAUUCCCAUGAGGGCCCUUUGGCGUGUCAGCCUUGGAAGCAGAGAAAUGACUAUUACCCCUUCUUUGAGCCAUCUGGGAUCUCCCCGACCCCACCUCCACCCCACACACAAACACCCGGAGAGGAGCAUCUCCGCCAAACAUCAGGCCCUUCGAUGUUCCCUUUCAUUGCUUCCUAAUCUGUCUUCCCCAGUGAUGCUGGGAUCCAGACAUUAUUGCCUAAGCAAUUCUGAAACCCCAAACUCCUAACCCAAACUCAAAAUAUGAAGCCCAGUAUUCCAGCUCAGUUCAAACCCCAGCCUGUACUUAAACCUCGGACUUCAAAUAAGGAGUUCCUGAAUCACUCAGAUCAGACAGCCGGGAUACCGGAAACCCGCCCAUUAUACUCGGUCCUAAUUGAAAUCUUCAGGCCAAAGCAGAACCCAAGUUAAAGCUGACUAGAGAACAAGAGACUUGCACGCAGGGCUCUGAGUACAGACUCUGGGAGGAAGGAAGGCACAGAACGAGUGUCCAGGCAAGAGAAAGGAGACAAAGUGGGCAGGGAGCGCAGGACAGGUGGACACGGACUUGGAGGACUUGGAGCGCGGGGUGUUGACCUGCCCUGGGACCUGCUCUACUUCUGUGCUCAAUACCCAGCCAGGGCUGCUGGCAGCCUUGGAUACCACCCUCUGUCUGCCUCCGAAACCAAGUGUGCUUGGUCCAUCAUAGUCGCCCCGCAACUUUGGGAGAAGCGCCGCCCUCCUGCUCUUAGGAAGCAAAGUGACUCAGUGAAUGGCUUCGCGAACUGUGGAAAGACUUGCAUGCACCCUUGAUAAGUCACUUCCCCUCUCUGCGCUCGUUAAGGGACUACCUAACGGGGUCUCUCGGGCAAUCCUGCAUGAGGUACCUUCUGUAAGUCUGAGUCCAAGAGAUGGAGUGUUCCCACUGAGGAGGGUGGGAUAAAGGAGCAUGUUUGCUCACCCCUGUCCUAACAGGAGUGGGUGGGGUAGGGCCCAGGCACUGCCACAAUAGGGCAGCCAACACCCUUGGCAACUCGGUGAUUCAGACCCCGCAGAGAGUCGGCCUGGCAGGAAAGCACCCGUGGCUUCCUUGUGACUCAGGGGAAAUGCAGAUCUCCCUGAAGAAUGACUGGCCAGGGACCCGUUAUAACCAACUCAUCUCCCCUGCACCUAGAAAGUUUCCGGUCCCAGUGUAGCCCUAAGCUCAUGGGACCGCCUCCCUGGCCUACUCAGCUGCUUCCAGCCCUCCUACCUGGCCCUGGCAAGCCCUCUACCCUCGGCCUUCAACUCCAUAGCCCUCCCUGCCCUGCCAUGUCCCCUCAGUCACCCUUUGGCUCUGCCCAACCACACUAUCCACCCCCAUCCUGGCAGAGCCAGCCAGAUGAUUGCAAAAGGGCUGAGCCAGCGAGAGAGGCCCUCACAUGACACCUGUUCCUGCUUCGGAGGGGAGGGGGCAGCUGGAAGUAGAGGGAAGCACAUUCCAUGGGAGAUCCGAUCAGAAAUAGCCCCAAACCCUGACCGUCUGGCCCCUGCUCUGCACAUGGCCAAGCCCAUCGUGUAAACAAGCUCCUGUCGGUAGGCGCCCCCUUUGGAAUCCUGAGGAAAUGAGGAAAGCAGAGGGUAGGGGGAGGUUCCCCCGAAAGGGAGGGGGCCACAAGAAUGAAAAGAGCCCCAGGAACACCUAGAGACCCAGGGUCACCAAGGACACCUUUGCCACUUAAGCAGCCCCACGUGCCCAUGGCAUUCUGCCUCUUCCGAGACACUCAAGUGACUACAGCACAGAGCUCAGCAGCCACCUUGACCGCCAUUCCACCCAUCGCUUGGGUGCUGAAGCGCUGGGACACCCCAGUAAUUCCACUGGAGUAAAGCGACAGCCUCCCCCGGGAGCCGUGCCAGCCUGAUUAGAGCAAACAGACAGGAGCAGGUGACUGUUUCCCUAACCUUUCAGGAGCACUGGCAUUUUGGCUCCAGGGCAUGGGGGGCGGGGGCACGGAGAAGAGGGUGAGGACCCCAGAACGGCACUCAAACACACAGACGACCAGAGCCAGCUGGGGGAGUUACCCUGCAGUGUAGGUACGGCUGGUGGGGCGAGCCAGGGAAGCCACAGCCACCCAGGAAAACCCACUUGACGUGUGGAGGGAAAGUUCUGGGUUCCGAGGACAAAGAGUGCUGGUUGCCAUGAAAACCACAAUAUUGAUUUCAGAAAUGACUGGGUGGAUCCUCCAAAACACUUCAUUCCUCUCCCUUCAACAUUCUAGAGCCUUCCCCCACCUCUCAAAAGGGGAAGUGGCACUUCUGGGGCAUGUGGGCAGCUGGUGGGAUGGGUCUGACCCAGGGUGCCGAGCAGCUGUCCAGCUCCAGCUCAAACAGGACAGGAAAAAAAGGAGACAAUCUAGGUCUUUCUUGGAAGAACUUAAGGCUUUUGGCGUCUUAAUAAGUGACGUAAGCAGGAGGGCCAACAAAGCUAAAAUAAAUAGCUGCUCAUAACCAGUAUCUACCGGUUUGUAUACAGGCUGAACCAAGUCUCAGGCGUUCCCAUUCAUGCGCUGGGCUCGGUAAAGAUUUCCUCUGCAGCGGGGACGAUGGAUGGAGCUACAAGAGUGUUAUGCUGAGUGAAAUAGGUCCGUCAGAGAACGACAAUUACCGUAUGCUUUCACUCGUAUAUGGAAUUUAAAAAACAAAACAAAUGAGCAAAGGGAAAAAAAAAGAGACAGACCAAGAAACAGACUCCUAACUAUAGAGAGCAAACUGGAGGUUCCCAGAGUGGAGGGGGUGAGGAGAUGGGUGAAACAGGGGAUGGGGAUCAAGGAGUGCCCUUGUCUGAUGAGCACUGCGGAUAUGUGGAAGUGUUAAGUCACUCUAUGGUACACCUGAAACUAAUAUAACGCUGUAUGUUAACGACACUCAAUUAAAAUAAAG